AUGACAGAGGACAAGAUGGUUGGAUGGUAUCACCGACUCAACGAACAUGAGUUUGGGCAAGCUCCGGGAGAUGGGGAAGGACAGGGAAGCCUGGCGUGCUUCAGUCCAUGGGGUCACAAAGAGCCGGACACGACAGAGCAACUAAGCAACAACAAGGGGCCACCAGCAGCUGCCAAGCAAGGAAUGUCACCCUGUUCUCUGCAGGUGCCAGCAGCUCGUCCAUCACACAAAUCCAGAGGGAGUCAGCCACCUGCUCCAUGUGCUGCCCAGGGCUGUGAUCAUCCAGAGAAGAGUCUGCAGGGACAGGGAGAGAGGGGCAUGGCUGCUCUUGGGAGCACAGAGGCUCUGAGAGAAGACUGUGGCCAUGGGGUGUGAGGCAGGAAGCUGGCACCCGCAGAGCUGCAGGACUUGAGGAAGCUGAGGAGGAAAUCCUGGGCAGGUUUCAUAAGACUGUCCUGAGAAGGGAGCACAAAUCCACACGCUCCCAGCACCAUGUGAUAUAAAUACACAAAGUCUGCUGGGGACUGAGGCUUCCCCGGUGGCUCAGACGGUAAUCUGCCUGCAGUGUGGGACACACAGGUUCAAUCUCUGGGUCAGGAAGCUCCCCUGGAGAAGGGAAUGGCUACCCACUCCAGUAUCCUUGCCUGGAGAAUCCCAUGUAAUCCACCUGGCAGAUUACAGUCCAGGGGGUAACAAAGAGGCAGACACGACUUAGUGACCAAACAACAACAACAUACAAACAUACAAUGUGACAUGCAGGAAUGUGCUUCCAUGUGAAAAAAUUCUGAGGUUGUAGUCAAUUCCCACGUAACACAGAGAUUCUUAACUGGACACUGAACCUGGCAAUGGUCUUGGUAGGGGGCAGGUGGUGUCCCAGGAUCCCUGGAAUUAUAUAGGAUUGGUUUGUGCAUUUAUCCAAGAUUGUUUAUUAUUUCAUCACAUCUUAACAUGAGCCCGUGACCCAAAGUGUUAUGAAUUCCUGCAUAAAACAUCUAUAAGUUCAUAUUAAAGAUUCCAAAUAUUUCUGCUUUGUUCCUUUAAAAGCAGCCACAACUUUGGGGCCCUGAGUUUCAGAGCACUUUUGUGUGUGUGUAUUAGAGGCUCAGUCCCACUUUGCGAUCUCCUACUUCACUACCAGAUCAAUCCUCUAGGUGGCAGCAAAACCCUCAAAUGGACUUAGUGCUCCUUAGCUCUGCCGUGUCUGACCAGUUGCAUCUCCAUGGGCUGCAGCCUGCCAGGCCCCUGUCCAUGGAAUUUCCCAGGCAAGAAUACUGGAGCAAGUUCCCAUUUCCUUCUCCUGGUUUUUGAAUUAUAUCAUUUUUUUUCCACACCAAGGAUUGAACCCAAAUCCUGAGCUUGUUUCAGCUCUUUCCGUGGUUCAUCUCAGCAAAAGCUAAAUAUACUGAGGUGCCUACUAUUGUGAUUGUUGGACCCAAGUUCUGACUGCUGGAUUAAAAAAAAUUUUUUAUCUGACUGUACCGGCUCUUAGUUGCAGCAUGGGGAAUCUAGUUCCCUGACCAGUAAAGUAAAUCUAGUUCCCUGAGCCCCCUGCGUUGGGAGUGUGGAGUCUUAGCCACUGGGCCACCAGAGAAGUCCCCCGACUACUGGAUUGAUUAGAUGACUUGAUAGUACAGAUGUGGAAAUCCAAAGUACAGAUUUUCCCCCAGUUAACAAGAAGCAUCCUUACUAUGCUUUUGACAUUUGUAUUCUCAGUCCCUGGAGCAGAGCUAGUUAAACAAAUGAGUGAGGGUAUGUUAGGCACUGCCUAUCUAGGAGACUCCCUUGUGCCAGCCAAGGUCCUUGCUGGUAAGCAAAAGAGGUCACCUCUGGCUGUCUUAAGUAGAAAAAGAAUUUACUGGGACAAUAUGAGAAUAGAUUAGAGUCAUGAGAGAGCAGUCAAAAUCCAGACUGUUGCCUCACUUUGCAUCACGUGUUCCAGACUUCUGGCAGAUGGUCCUUUGAUAGACCUGCUGCCAAAGGGGGAAGACAGGAAGGAUGCUCUGACACAGCUUCUCAGGGAAGCAGGGCCUGUGUCCCCUCUUAACAUGCCCGGCACCCCAGUCUCACCCAGCAGAGUGUCUCAGGGCCUUUGCCAGCUUCUGCCCCAUCUCAAGUGUUUUUACUACCACUCAUUUCUUCUUAACUUGGAGUAGCGUUGAAGACUGCAGACACUCUCGACUUGACUUUUCCUGGGAAUACUUUGAAUGUUUCACCAUGGAGUGAACAUUUAAUGAGGGGCUCAGGUAGCUACAUUCUCUAUCUGGCUUAAGAAUUUCCCUUGUGUUCCCAGUUUACUAGGAGUUUUUGAAAACUGAAACUGGUCCUGUAUUUUGUCAAAGAACUUCUGGGCACAAAAUCCUUCUCUCAAGUGUCUCUACAGCGAAGGACACUCAUAGACCUUUCAGUGUUGAAUCAGCCUUCUUGCCUUGGGGAGAUUAACUCAUGCAACCAUCCAUCCAUUCUGCAAGUCCUGCAUACCUGACGUGAAAAGCGGUGUCGUCAGCACUGGGUGUGGACAAAAACGACAACAAAGUGCCUGCCUGCAGGGAGCAUGCACUGCAGCUGGAGGGAUGCAGACAAGUUUUUGAAAAACACAAAAUGUAAAGUAUGUCUGAGAGUGAUGAGUAUCCCACGACCUACAAAUCCCUCUUUAUCCUCAUGUGCUCUGGGCGGCUCCACAUCUCCACCUCUGCCUGGAUGGAAACACUGCCCGGCCUGAGAAUCUCUGAGGACACCUGACUAUUCUUCUCCAGAGAGCCAUCCUGUGCCUCCCCUGCACUCUUAUCCAAGCUUUCAACUGUUUGUCUUUACCACUCACCCUUCUCCUCUUCCUGAUGGCUCUCUACUUUGUUAUUCACUGGAGAUGUCAUACACAGCGGUGCACAGUGCCAUGCAAGGUGUGCAGGUGGUUUGAACAUCCAAAUGAACAUCCAAGUGAACAACCUUGGUCUCUAGUUCACUCCACUCCUCCCCCUGGCUGUGCAAUUGAUAUAAGGGUACUCAGUGGUCCUGCCUCCACCCCAUCCAUCCUCACAUCUUGACUUGGCAUCUGCGACCAUCAUAUUUCCUUACCAAAAACUCCUCUCUACCUUGGUUUUUCAAUUACUCCAAUAAGAUAAAUAAAUCACUGACCACCCCCCCCAAAACAUCCAGUUUGUCUGACUCACUGCUUAAUCUCAAUCGCCUAGCUUUCUUCCUCCUACUUCUUUGAGUAUGAUUUGCUUUACUUCUCUUUGACUAUGUUUAAAAAAACCUGAAAAAGCUACUGUGUUAACUGAUUUCAAGUAAAAAAGUAUCCAGAAGAAAAAGACAGUACUUGAGCUCUUGUAUUUAUCAAAUGAAGAAAAGUGCUGAAAAUAAGUUGAAUGUAAAUGUGCCUAGUCACUGUAUAAGUUACAUUUAAAUUUGAUUUUUUGAAGAAAAUUACACUAAAUUUAUGAAUAUUAACAAAGUUUUAAAUCUGAACAAUUUUAUAAACAUGGGCAGUAGUUGAUAUUUGCUAUGUAAAGUGUUGACUUUUAACUAUUUGAAAAUAAAACAGCAGGGCAGAAGGCAUAAUGAAAUGGCAAAAGAAAAGGACAUCUUUUAAACAUAUUUUCCAUAAUAAUACUGUUGUUGUUGUUAUUCAGUCA
ensembl:lncRNA